rnacentral:lncRNA from 13 species
GCUUGGUGAAGUGUUGAAUCCUAAAAUGGGUUAGCAUGACAAAAACGUGGCAAGAAGCAGAAACUUGAAGGAUUUUAGCCAGAACUGACUGAGUCUCCUACAGGCGUUUCAGCUUGAAUGUGUUAUGGGUUGUGCUGUUGGAAAACGUGGUGUGUGGCAGUUUUGGGCUUUUCCCUGAUACGGAUGCCACUGGAAGUCCUGCCUACCACCAUUUUCCAGCUACCAAAGCAUCACCAGGGCUCAGAGUGCUGUCACCAGUCGUGGUCCACCAGUGGGAAACGCAUGGGAAGGGGUGAGAGAAUCAGCAUGAGGUCCUGCCCGCCUGAUAUCAUGGCUGGAGCACUUGCUGCUGCCCCUUGCACUUCCUUGGCAUCCACCUGGGGAGCUGAGAGAAGAGGAUUGAUUCAGCUGCAGCCACGUCUCUUUUGA